rnacentral:rRNA from 1 species
AGAGUUUGAUCCUGGCUCAGGAUGAGCGCUAGCUACAGGCUUAACACAUGCAAGUCGAGGGGCAGCAUUUUAGUUUGCUUGCAAACUAAAGAUGGCGACCGGCGCACGGGUGAGUAACACGUAUCCAACCUGCCGAUAACUCGGGGAUAGCCUUUCGAAAGAAAGAUUAAUAUCCGAUAGUAUAUUAAAACCGCAUGGUUUUACUAUUAAAGAAUUUCGGUUAUCGAUGGGGAUGCGUUCCAUUAGUUUGUUGGCGGGGUAACGGCCCACCAAGACUACGAUGGAUAGGGGUUCUGAGAGGAAGGUCCCCCACAUUGGAACUGAGACACGGUCCAAACUCCUACGGGAGGCAGCAGUGAGGAAUAUUGGUCAAUGGACGAGAGUCUGAACCAGCCAAGUAGCGUGAAGGAUGACUGCCCUAUGGGUUGUAAACUUCUUUUAUAUGGGAAUAAAGUAUUCCACGUGUGGGAUUUUGUAUGUACCAUAUGAAUAAGGAUCGGCUAACUCCGUGCCAGCAGCCGCGGUAAUACGGAGGAUCCGAGCGUUAUCCGGGUUUAUUGGGUUUAAAGGGAGCGUAGGUGGAUUGUUAAGUCAGUUGUGAAAGUUUGCGGCUCAACCGUAAAAUUGCAGUUGAAACUGGCAGUCUUGAGUACAGUAGAGGUGGGCGGAAUUCGUGGUGUAGCGGUGAAAUGCUUAGAUAUCACGAAGAACUCCGAUUGCGAAGGCAGCUCACUAGACUGCAACUGACACUGAUGCUCGAAAGUGUGGGUAUCAAACAGGAUUAGAUACCCUGGUAGUCCACACAGUAAACGAUGAAUACUCGCUGUUUGCGAUAUACAGUAAGCGGCCAAGCGAAAGCAUUAAGUAUUCCACCUGGGGAGUACGCCGGCAACGGUGAAACUCAAAGGAAUUGACGGGGGCCCGCACAAGCGGAGGAACAUGUGGUUUAAUUCGAUGAUACGCGAGGAACCUUACCCGGGCUUAAAUUGCAUUUGAAUAAUCUGGAAACAGGUUAGCCGCAAGGCAAAUGUGAAGGUGCUGCAUGGUUGUCGUCAGCUCGUGCCGUGAGGUGUCGGCUUAAGUGCCAUAACGAGCGCAACCCUUAUCUUUAGUUACUAACAGGUCAUGCUGAGGACUCUAGAGAGACUGCCGUCGUAAGAUGUGAGGAAGGUGGGGAUGACGUCAAAUCAGCACGGCCCUUACGUCCGGGGCUACACACGUGUUACAAUGGGGGGUACAGAAGGCAGCUACCUGGCGACAGGAUGCUAAUCCCAAAAACCUCUCUCAGUUCGGAUCGAAGUCUGCAACCCGACUUCGUGAAGCUGGAUUCGCUAGUAAUCGCGCAUCAGCCAUGGCGCGGUGAAUACGUUCCCGGGCCUUGUACACACCGCCCGUCAAGCCAUGAAAGCCGGGGGUACCUGAAGUACGUAACCGCAAGGAGCGUCCUAGGGUAAAACUGGUAAUUGGGGCUAAGUCGUAACAAGGUA